rfam:TPA: Bos taurus chromosome 9, whole genome shotgun sequence.
UCCAUAGUAGCUCAGCUGGUAAAGAACCUGCCUAUAAUGCAGGAGACCCCGGUUCAAUUCCUGGUUCAGGAA